rnacentral:misc_RNA from 1 species
UCUCCGUUGGUGAACCAGCGGAGGGAUUAUUACAGAGUUUUUAACUUCUAAACCCAUGUGAACUUACCAUUGUUGCCUCGGCAGAGCCUACCCUGUAGCUACCCUGUAGGGUGGUUACCCUGUAGCGCCCCGCCGGUGGAUUUUCAAACUCUUGUUAUUUUUAGUAAUCAGAGCGUCUUAUUUUAAAUAAGUCAAAACUUUCAACAACGGAUCUCUUGGUUCUGGCAUCGAUGAAGAACGCAGC